rnacentral:rRNA from 1 species
UGGAGUUCGAGAGAGGUGAGUGGAAUUUCCGGUGUAGCGGUGAAAUGCGUAGAUAUCGGAAGGAACACCAGUGGCGAAGGCGGCUUCCUGGACUAAUACUGACACUGAGGUGCGAAAGCGUAGGGAGCAAACAGGAUUAGAGACCCUGGUAGUCCACGCUGUCAACGAUGAGAACUAGCUGUUAGAAAACUUGUUUUCUGGUAGCGAAGCUAACGCGUUAAGUUCUCCGCCUGGGGAGUACGACCGCAAGGUUAAA